GAUGAACGCUGACAGAAUGCUUAACACAUGCAAGUCGAUGGGGAAGUGGUGCUUGCACCAUGGUAACCAUGGCGGACGGGUGAGUAACGCGUAAGGAACUUACCUGCGGGACCGGGAUAACAGCAGGAAACUGCUGACAAGACCGGAUAAGGUCAUUAAGCUGCAUAGCUUAGUGAUGAAAGGAGACGCCUGCGGAGAGCCUUGCGUCCUAUUAGCUAGUUGGAGGGGUAACGGCCCACCAAGGCGAAGAUAGGUAGCCGGCCUGAGAGGGUGGACGGCCACAAGGGGACUGCGAUACGGCGCUUACUCCUACGGGAGGCAGCAGUGGGGAAUAUUGGACAAUGGGGGCAGCCCUGAUCCAGCAAUUCUGUGUGCACGAAGACGGUUUUCGGAUUGUAAAGUGCUUUCAGCAGGGAAGAAGGAAGUGACGGUACCUGCAGAAGAAGCGACGGCUAAAUACGUG
rnacentral:rRNA from 1 species